rnacentral:rRNA from 1 species
AUUGAACGCUGGCGGCAGGCCUAACACAUGCCAGUCGAGCGGAUGAAGGGAGCUUGCUCCUGGAUUCAGCGGCGGACGGGUGAGUAAUGCCUAGGAAUCUGCCUGGUAGUGGGGGAUAACGUCCGGAAACGGGCGCUAAUACCGCAUACGUCCUGAGGGAGAAAGUGGGGGAUCUUCGGACCUCACGCUAUCAGAUGAGCCUAGGUCGGAUUAGCUAGUUGGUGGGGUAAAGGCCUACCAAGCCGACGAUCCGUAACUGGUCUGAGAGGAUGAUCAGUCACACGGGAACUGAACCACGGUCCAGACGCCUGCGGGAGGCAGCAGUGGGGAAUAUUGGACAAUGGGCGAAAGCCUGAUCCAGCCGUGCCGCGUGUGUGAAGAAAGUCUUCGGAUUGUAAAGCACUUUAAGUUGGGAGGAAGGGCAGUAAGUUAAUACCUUGCUGUUUUGACGUUACCAACAGAAUAAGCACCGGCUAACUUCGUG